GAAGGUUGCAGAAGUUCAUUAAACAACUCUGCUACCUUGAAAUUGGUGAACAGGAAGAGAAAAUUUGGUACUUAAAAAGUGACGGAAAUGACAUUUCAGUGGUGUCUCCGUAUGAUCUUACUGAUGUUUGCAUCAGUAUUAUUUGGAACGGCUACAUCAAGCACAAGCCCCGAGGAAAUCGCGAAGAACGUUAAAACAAUGCUUACAAGCUCUACGCCGCUGGUUUUGCUCUUCGGCAAUGUUCUUCCGGCUUCACUAAAUCAGAAACCCUGCUGGAUGUCACAAUUCCAACAAAGUGGCCAUGCAGGUGCAAUUGUCGUCCAUCUGUAUUCCGGAGUUAUUGAUCAUGCGGCAAGUUAUUCGGACACAGUGAAACGCAACUGUAUCCAGUUUUAUUUGCCAACCAAAAUUGCUUUAUUUUACAACUGCCACAAGCUACAGAUGAGGGACUACAAUGCUUGGCAUGGGUGCCAGCAAGUAAGGCUCACUUCCUUCAUACCGAUUGCAGAAGGGCGUUCUCCACGCAGUGUCCCGCAUGUACCGCAACAACAAACACAGCUCCUCAGACCUCAUAAAGGCAAAAAAAUUGUUUUUGUUGUAUCAUUAUGCUGCCUGUAACUGUUGGUAGGCGGUGCCCAAACCAGCACAUCAAUGUGUUCAAAUUUUGUCGAAGAAAUAAAUUCUGUUUUAAAGAA
rnacentral:misc_RNA from 1 species